rnacentral:rRNA from 1 species
AUUGAACGCUGGCGGCAGGCCUAACACAUGCAAGUCGAACGGUAACAGGAAGCAGCUUGCUGCUUUGCUGACGAGUGGCGGACGGGUGAGUAAUGUCUGGGAAACUGCCCGAUGGAGGGGGAUAACUACUGGAAACGGUAGCUAAUACCGCGUAACGUCGCAAGACCAAAGAGGGGGACCUUAGGGCCUCUUGCCAUCGGAUGUGCCCAGAUGGGAUUAGCUAGUAGGUGGGGUAACGGCUCACCUAGGCGACGAUCCCUAGCUGGUCUGAGAGGAUGACCAGCCACACUGGAACUGAGACACGGUCCAGACUCCUACGGAAGGCAGCAGUGGGGAAUAUUGCACAAUGGGCGCAAGCCUGAUGCAGCCAUGCCGCGUGUAUGAAGAAGGCCUUCGGGUUGUAAAGUACUUUCAGCGGGGAGGAAGGGAGUAAAGUUAAUACCUUUGCUCAUUGACGUUACCCGCAGAAGAAGCACCGGCUAACUCCGUG